rnacentral:lncRNA from 1 species
CUGAACACAUAACAGAGUUUAUUUAAGGUUUUGAAAAUUAACUGCACAAACAGGAAAACUCUGGCGCUUCUAAAGGGAACUCCACCCAAGCCCAGCUCCAGCAGGAAAUACCAAAACUGCCCCUCUGUAGUUUGGGUCAUGGCACUCUUGCAUGAGGGAAAGGAGUAACAACUAAACCGGAGGUUUUUACUUCAGUGAUGGUUGAAGCGGCACAUUCCACAA